GAUGAACGCUGGCGGCGUGCCUAAUACAUGCAAGUCGAGCGAACGGACGAGAAGCUUGCUUCUCUGAUGUUAGCGGCGGACGGGUGAGUAACACGUGGAUAACCUACCUAUAAGACUGGGAUAACUUCGGGAAACCGGAGCUAAUACCGGAUGAUAUUUUGAACCGCAUGGUUCAACGGUGAAAGACGGUCUUGCUGUCACUUAGAGAUGGAUCCGCGCUGCAUUAGCUAGUUGGUAAGGUAACGGCUUACCAAGGCAACGAUGCAUAGCCGACCCGAGAGGGUGAUCGGCCACACUGGAACUGAGACACGGUCCAGACUCCUACGGGAGGCAGCAGUAGGGAAUCUUCCGCAAUGGGCGAAAGCCUGACGGAGCAACGCCGCGUGAGUGAUGAAGGUCUUCGGAUCGUAAAACUCUGUUAGUAGGGAAGAACAUAUGUGUAAGUAACUGUGCACAUCUUGACGGUACCUAAUCAGAAAGCCACGGCUAACUACGUG
rnacentral:rRNA from 1 species